GGUCCAGCUGCAGACCCAGAGGAGGCCGAUUCAGGCAAAGGUAGGUUUAGGCAAGUAACUUUGCGCCGGAUAUGACGUCAGAAGGAUGAUGCCCGAUUCCGAAAUGCAUGUCACAAUACAACGAGGGACAUCUGUCCCUGAGCUGCAAAAAUGCAACACAUGUUGCAGUAUGUACCACUGUCCAUUCUGCCAGCCCGCAUGGUUUAAAGCCCCAUACUACUGCAAGGUAAAGGACCAUGUGGAGGGCCAUUUUAACCGAGCAGUAUCACAUGACGGGUAUACCAUUCAUAGAUGUGGGCUACAAUGCCGACCAAAACUGCACUUUCAUUGCAUCUAUUGCCGUGGAAUUAUAGUACGCCGGGUACCCUUCAUAAAUCACCUUCGCAUG